rnacentral:rRNA from 1 species
UGGGGAAUAUUGCACAAUGGACGAAAGUCUGAUGCAGCAACGCCGCGUGGAGGAUGACACAUUUCGGUGCGUAAACUCCUUUUAUAUAGGAAGAUAAUGACGGUACUAUAUGAAUAAGCACCGGCUAACUCCGUGCCAGCAGCAGCGGUAAUACGGAGGGUGCAAGCGUUACUAGGAAUCACUGGGCGUAAAGAGCGUGUAGGCGGGUAUAUAAGUCAGAAGUGAAAUCCAAUAGCGUAACUAUUGAACUGCUUUUGAAACUGUGUACCUAGAAUGUGGGAGAGGUAGAUGGAAUUUCUGGUGUAGGGGUAAAAUCCGUAGAGAUCAGAAGGAAUACCGAUUGCGAAGGCGAUCUACUGGAACAUUAUUGACGCUGAGACACGAAAGCGUGGGGAGCAAACA